rnacentral:rRNA from 1 species
CAGUAGCCGCGGGAAUACGUAGGUCCCGAGCGUUGUCCGGAUUUAUUGGGCGUAAAGCGAGCGCAGGCGGUUAGAUAAGUCUGAAGUUAAAGGCUGUGGCUUAACCAUAGUACGCUUUGGAAACUGUUUAACUUGAGUGCAAGAGGGGAGAGUGGAAUUCCAUGUGUAGCGGUGAAAUGCGUAGAUAUAUGAAGGAGCACCGGUGGCGAAAGCGGCUCUCUGGCUUGUAACUGACGCUGAGGCUCGAAAGCGUGGGGAGCAAACAGGAUUAGAUACCCGUGUAGUCCCUGUCUCUUAUACA